GCUGGAAUUCCUCCAGGAAGGCCGAAAGAAGCCUGGCACUUGCUUGCAGCUUGCAGCCAGGCUUGGGCAGCUGGGAUCUGGAAGGAGUUCCCUGCAGUUCUGGAGCACUCUGGCACCGCUCACACCCCCUACAUCAAACCCGUACCACACACCCCGCCUGCUCCCGCUCCACCUUCUUCUGCACAACACAAUACAGAGGAGCUCUGUGCUUCUGUACACACACACACACACACACAGAGAGAGAGACAGCGAGCUGUAAAUGCGAUUCAAGGAUUCAAGCAGGCGCCCCUCAGUUGCCGACUCUGCUCUGUGUGGCACUUGACACAGGCGCUCUCGCAUAAUCUGCCUAUUAUUCAUUGUUAGUGGCGAGACUCUUCAACACACUUCAAGGUCUAUUCAUCUGCAGAAACAAGUACUGUACUGGGUAUCAGCACUGUGGAAACGGUCCCCCAUUUGCCCUUUCAAAUUCGCCUACCAUGCAAGAUACGGCGCUGAACAGGAGCUGUUUCUUCAGCUGGAAGCCAUAGUGGUUUCUUUCCCCCAAGAGCGUCACGGCACCUGCAAGGAGCCGCGAGAGUUUUGGCUACACCAGUAAGGCACCGCAAGCCCCGCCUACCUGCUGAAAGGCAGCCUGCUGACACCCUCCUGAUCGGUUGUCUGGGAUUCUCAGCAGCCAAAAAAGCAGUAAAAAAGGAAUUCCUUCCUAAUGGUCCAUGAAAGCUGUGAUUCACCACUUAUUAUUGUUCGAGCCCUGGCGAAUCUUUCCAUAUUACCUCAGCAUUGUGACCUUCAGAAAACCUGUCCGUCACACUCUAGGGUUUAUUUUCACAUCGUGCCACCUCGUCUCUCUGUUCUGACUUGCUUGAGCAGAUCUAUGGAAUACAGUCGAGUAAUCAAUGGCCCAGAAAGCUCUUCCAGCUGGACACUUGUCAUUGGUGAUGGAGGAAAACCAUGGCAACCGGCCGCUUCUAAAGGACCGCUGGCGUUAGGGAGAAGCAUCUUCACAUUAUGGCUGCAGGAUCUGAUGUCUGCCAAACAAGCGUGGGAACUGACCUGGCCCAUCCACAGCAGCCUCAUCUGCAGCCUGUAA
rnacentral:lncRNA from 12 species